rnacentral:lncRNA from 1 species
UUUAAGAUUGGGGUUGAGGUAAUAGAGAAAAAAUGGUCAAAAAUUCAAAAAAAUUGAGAAAAUAAAAAGUUAAAAAUAAAUUCUUCAAAAAAAAAGAGAAAAAGAAUGCAAAAGGAAUAUUAAGGACCACGACAACGAUAUCUCUAGUACCAUUAAUCAGGAAAGUUGUUGGUAUGAAAAUAAUAGGAGAACUACCUAACUCCAAAGGUUCAAACCUACUUUCCCAGAAAUGUCCUACCCGAACAUAAGCCAC